rnacentral:rRNA from 1 species
GGACCCGCACAAGUAGUGGAGCAUGUGGUUUAAUUCGAUGAUCGCGAGGAACCUUACCAGGGCUUAAAUGUAGGUUGCAUGAUCUAGAGAUAGAUCUUUCUUCGGACUACCUACAAGGUGCUGCAUGGUUGUCGUCAGCUCGUGCCGUGAGGUGUCAGGUUAAGUCCUAUAACGAGCGCAACCCCUGUCGUUAGUUACCAGCAAUUAAAGUUGGGUACUCUAGCGAGACUGCCGGUGCAAACCGUGAGGAAGGUGGGGAUGACGUCAAAUCAUCACGGCCCUUACGUCCUGGCUACACACGUGCUACAAUGGCCGGUACAGAGAGCAGCCACUACGCGAGUAGGAGCGAA